GGGUCAGUAGGUUGGUCGUGCCACCGGUACGUACUGGUCUCACUGAUUCCUCCUUCCUGAAGAACCGUAAUGCCAUUAAUUUGGUGUUGGGGGGAAACAGGACUGUUACUUUGAAAAAAUUAGAGUGUUUAAAGCAAGCUAACGCUUGAAUACAUUAGCAUGGAAUAAUGAAAUAGGACGAUCGAUCCUAUUUUGUUGGUUUCUAGGAUUGACGUA
rnacentral:rRNA from 1 species